CUUGUCUGUGAUGAUAAAAUGACCACACUUAUCGAGGCAUUUAUAAUGCAAUGAGAUUAUCAAUCACAUGCACUACCAUCUGAGACGAC